rnacentral:lncRNA from 1 species
CGCCGUAGUUUUAUAAGAUAAAAAAUAACUCCUUCUAAGGCUCUAAUUUUGUCUUUCAUUGCUCAGACCUUUUGAUGAACAUCCAUAGUUGAGAUGAUGAAGCAUCAGAUUCUUUAACUAUGUAUAAACUUUUCUUACCCGCUAUCCAUAUCCUUUCUUCUCAAUUCGUUGGACUUCAUAAUCAUGAGAUACCAGGGUAGAUCCCUCUGCUUGCUGGAUACCAAGCUCAUAACUCUACCUCUAGGACUAAAAGGACAACC